rnacentral:rRNA from 1 species
GAUGAACGCUGGCGGCGUGCUUAACACAUGCAAGUCGAACGGAAAGGCCCAAGCUUGCUUGGGUACUCGAGUGGCGAACGGGUGAGUAACACGUGGGUGAUCUGCCCUGCACUUCGGGAUAAGCCUGGGAAACUGGGUCUAAUACCGGAUAGGACGAUGGUUUGGAUGCCAUUGUGGAAAGUUUUUUCGGUGUGGGAUGAGCUCGCGGCCUAUCAGCUUGUUGGUGGGGUAAUGGCCUACCAAGGCGUCGACGGGUAGCCGGCCUGAGAGGGUGUACGGCCACAUUGGGACUGAGAGACGGCCCAGACUCCGACGGGAGGCAGCAGUGGGGAAUAUUGCACAAUGGGCGCAAGCCUGAUGCAGCGACGCCGCGUGGGGGAUGACGGCCUUCGGGUUGUAAACUCCUAUCGCUAGGGACGAAGCGUUUUUGUGACGGUACCUGGAGAAGAAGCACCGGCUAACUACGUG